rnacentral:rRNA from 1 species
UACGGAAUGUGCAAACGUUAUUCGGAAUCACUGGGCUUAAAGAGUCCGUAGGCGGCAUGUUAGGUGAGGUGUGAAAUCCCCCGGCUCAACCGAGGAAUUGCGCUUCAAACCGGCGUGCUUGAGGAAGAUAGAGGUGGGCGGAACUGAUGGUGGAGCGGUGAAAUGCGUUGAUAUCAUCAGGAACACCAGAGGCGAAGGCGGCUCACUGGGUCUCUUCUGACGCUGAGGAACGAAAAGCUAGGGGAGCGAAACGGGAGUUAGAAAA